AGCGAACGCUGGCGGCAGGCCUAACACAUGCAAGUCGAACGGAUCCUUCGGGAUUAGUGGCGUACGGGUGAGUAACACGUGGGAACGUGCCCUUUGGUUCGGAACAACUCAGGGAAACUUGAGCUAAUACCGGAUGUGCCCUUCGGGGGAAAGAUUUAUCGCCAUUGGAGCGGCCCGCGUCUGAUUAGCUAGUUGGUGAGGUAACGGCCCACCAAGGCGACGAUCAGUAGCUGGGCUGAGAGGAUGAUCAGCCACACUGGGACUGAGACACGGCCCAGACUCCUACGGGAGGCAGCAGUGGGGAAUCUUGCGCAAUGGGCGAAAGCCUGACGCAGCCAUGCCGCGUGAAUGAUGAAGGUCUUAGGAUUGUAAAAUUCUUUCAGCGGGGACGAUAAUGACGGUACCCGCAGAAGAAGCUCCGGCUAACUUCGU
rnacentral:rRNA from 1 species